CUGCCACCUCACUGGUCUCCCAACCAUUUGUCACAGAGCACCCAAAGUUACUCAGCUAGACCAAAUAUCUGAACAUGCCUCUCCCCGACUUAAAACCUUUUGCCAGCUCCUCAGCACCUGAACAUAGAGUCCAGUGCUCACCAAGGUCUACCUGGCCUCCCUUCUGUGACUCCAGCCUACUCUCUUGCCACUCCCCACCUGCUAAGCAAUGCCCUGGAGAUGUGUAUACAGGCUCAGAAUAUGCUGCACGCUCUCCUACCACUGGGACUUCACUGUACCAGACAACAGCCUAACCCCAACUAAGGUAAACUCUGCCACCAAACAUGCCUGGGAAUGGAGAAGGGUCUGCAGAUGAGAACCCCUUCUGGUUCUAUGAUUCAAAUCUUCAUUCACUCAAAGCAGGAACCAAAUCCAGUGCUCCUCCAUUGUUGGAAUAAAUGCUCUUUGCCUGAAUGCUAUUUGUGGUCUUCGUAGAAUGGAGAGUAACUGAAGGCCCCACCGGAAAUCAAUUUUAUGUAAGCUUUUCAUUCUCUGG
rnacentral:lncRNA from 1 species